GUUUUAUUUAUUAUUUAUUUAUUGUUAACAUUUAUCAUUCUUGUUGCUUUAAUUAUUACCAGGAAGGAAACAGAUGCAGUUGUUGUGGAUCUAUUUUUAGCAAACAUCUGCAUCAUUUUUACAUUUAAAAGAGGUUCAAUAAUGAUUUUUCCUUUAAUAAAUGCAGCUUUUUCUUGCUCGUGGACACAGUUUUACUGAUUUAUUUUUGUCUUUAAUCAUGUCUUUAAUUAUUGAUGAUUCUAAAUGUUCACAGUAAUAUAACAUACUUACUGUGUCAUUAAAAUUGAUCAAUAGACUUUAUGUUGUCCUCAUAAGUUAGAAACCUGGAAUUGCUUAAUUAAUCAAAUAUUUGAAUCUAAAAGUGUGAUGAUUUAUUAGUUUAUUUUAUUUCAUAUGUAUUUAUUUUGUAAAACCUCUCCAUGUCUUUCAGAAUGGAAACACUGAUACAGACAGUUUGCAACUAGCUUGAUACUCAUGUUUGUGCAAAUGUAGAGUCACAUGAUCACUCUGCUGUAAACCUGUGUAGUCAGUAGAUGGUGCUGUUGGACUGUGUUUGUCUUUGUGAACGCUGUAACGUCAGAGUUAGGGGUCAUGUCCAAAUUUAUGAACUGCAUCCUCCUGAUGGGAGAAGGGUCUGGCUGCAGCCACUGUGGAGCUCCACAGUAACCGGAAACACGUGACCUCCACAGUAACCGGAAACACGUGAUCUCCACAGUAACCGGAAACACGUGACCUCCACAGUAGGCAGAAAUACGUUCCUGCGUGGAUCAUCGACUGUGGAAAUCUUGCAAGUGGAUCCUAAAGAUGCUCAUAUCAAUUUGGAGUUCUGCCACCAAUCCAGAAUUGCAGGAAUGCACAACAUGUUGCAGAAGACUCUUUCACUGCCCUCUGUGCCCCACUUUCAGCCCUACUGUCAAGGCAAAGAUUGAGGAGCAUAUAAAUGGACACAUUAAAAAUGCUUUGCCUUUCAAAGACACUUU
rnacentral:lncRNA from 1 species